AUUGAACGCUGGCGGCAGGCCUAACACAUGCAAGUCGAGCGGAUGAAGAGAGCUUGCUCUCUGAUUUAGCGGCGGACGGGUGAGUAAUGCCUAGGAAUCUGCCUGGUAGUGGGGGAUAACGUUCCGAAAGGAACGCUAAUACCGCAUACGUCCUACGGGAGAAAGCAGGGGACCUUCGGGCCUUGCGCUAUCAGAUGAGCCUAGGUCGGAUUAGCUAGUUGGUGAGGUAAUGGCUCACCAAGGCUACGAUCCGUAACUGGUGUGAGAGGAUGAUCAGUACAACGGGAAGUGAGACACGGUCCAGACUCCUACGGGAGGCAGCAUGGGGGAAUAUUGGACAAUGGGCGAAAGCCUGAUCCAGCCAUGCCGCGUGUGUGAAGAAGGUCUUCGGAUUGUAAAGCACUUUAAGUUGGGAGGAAGGGCAGUAAGCGAAUACCUUGCUGUUUUGACGUUACCGACAGAAUAAGCACCGGCUAACUCUGUGCCAGCCGCCGCAGUAACAC
rnacentral:rRNA from 1 species